GACAGAGGGUGCAAACGUUGUUCGGAAUUACUGGGCGUAAAGCGCGUGUAGGCGGCUUGGCAAGUCGGGUGUGAAAGCCCUGGGCUCAACCCAGGAAGUGCACUCGAAACUGCUUCGCUCGAGUAUCGGAGAGGAAAGCGGAAUUCUCGGUGUAGAGGUGAAAUUCGUAGAUAUCGAGAGGAACACCGGUGGCGAAGGCGGCGUUCUGGACGAUUACUGACGCUGAGACGCGAAAGCGUGGGGAGCAAACAGG
rnacentral:rRNA from 1 species